UGGCAGCUGCUGUAAAGAGAGAGAGAGGGAACAGGAGAGUAAGGCAGAUAGGGGAAGGGAGACAGAUGGAGAGGGAGGGAGAGAGAAGAGAGUGUACAUGGGGUGGCUAGAGGCCAGAGGAACCUCCUACUCUUCCACUGAGGAGAAACUAGAGGCAGGGAAAGAGAGGUGGCUAGAGGCCAGAGGAACCUCCUACCCUUCUACUGAGGAGAAACUAGAGACAGGGAAAGAGAGGUGGCUAGAGGCCAGAGGAACCUCCUACUCUUCCACUGAGGAGAAACUAGAGGCAGGGAAAGAGAGGUGGCUAGAGGCCAGAGGAACCUCCUACUAUUCCACUGAGGAGAAACUAGAGGCAGGGAAAGAGAGAGAGCUAGAGGCCAGAGGAACCUCCUACCCUUCCACUGAGGAGAAACUAGAGGCAGGAAAAGAGAGGUGGCUCGAGGCCAGAGGAACCUCCUACUCUUCCACUGAGGAGAAAC
ensembl:lncRNA